rnacentral:rRNA from 1 species
UACGUAGGGGGCAAGCGUUGUCCGGAUUUAUUGGGCGUAAAGAGCGUGUAGGCGGCCAUUCAGGUCAGCUGUGAAAACUCGAGGCUCAACCUCGAGACGUCGGUUGAAACCGUUUGGCUAGAGUCCGGAAGAGGAGAGUGGAAUUCCCGGUGUAGCGGUGAAAUGCGCAGAUAGUCGGGAGGAACACCGGUGGCGAAGGCGGUUCUCUGGGCCGAUACUGACGCUGAGGAGCGAAAGCGUGGGGAGCGAACAGG